UUUCCAAAGAACCUGCAACAGAGAAGCCUCUCAUCAUGUUCAUUCCCAGCACACUGUGACACCGGGAGGGGAAGAGAACAGAUAAAGGUGAAAUUUCCCUGAGAAAAGCAGGGGGUUUAUGGCCCUGCCAAGAGACAGAUGCUAAUUAAUGAGUCCCAGGCGGAGCCGUGACAGUAAGUGGUUCUGUUCGAGCUGGCGGUCUACUGACACGUUCAUCAGCCACACUCUCUAGUAAGUCCUGGGGUUUGUUCCUGUUUUUCUUUCAGCCUUCUAUCCAACUUUCCAGUCCGUCUCUCUGUCCAGUGUGUCUUUUGUGUUCCUUUCUUGUCCGGAGUGCUCCCCAUCCCAUUCCCUUUCACUACGGUACUCUCUCUUGUUUUUGUUUUUCUUUUAAGAAAUAAAUCCUCAAUAUUUAUUUAAUAAAUAUUGGUCAGUCCCUCUUCCUGUUCUCUGUCCUAUUUUUUUUCUCUCUGUCUCACUCCCUGCCCGCAUCUUUAUCUUUCCUUCUUUCUUCCUCUCCUUUUUCCUUUGCCCUGCACCGUGACUGUAUUUCUUUGUCCCUCUCACUGUCCUUUUUGCCUGUACCUGUCUGCAUCUGCUGCUCAGUCCUUCUCCCUCAUUGCAUCCUUCUCUUGAUAACCCUCUGUCCUGCUGCCCAUCCCUCUCUUUCUCCAUCCCUCUGCUACACCUUGCCCGUCUUCCCUCCACACCCACCUGCCGUGGUCAUUUCCUUUCUCUGUCCUUGUUUCCCUCUUUAUCUCGGUAUCCCUCUGUCCUUCCUGUGUGUUUACCAUUCUUUUUCUCUGUCCUUUGCCGUGCCUCAUUCAUGUUCCUUUUUAUUCUCUGUUGCUCUGUCCUGCUCCCUGUGCCAUUGUUUCUCACUGGAUCCUCCUGUCCCGUUUCCUGUCCCUAUUCUUUUUUAAUCCCUCUCUGUCGUGCUGCCCAUGCCCGAUGUUUUUUUCUCAAUUCCAUCCUGCACCCUGUUCUUCCUUUUCUUCCUGUGUCCCCUCUGCUCCCACUCCCUCUUUCUGCCUCUCCUCGUCUUUCCCUGGUGCUCCCACCCCACCGCUCGAUGGGUCCGUGAGCGCAGAUUGGGAUCCCGGUGCUCCAGCCUCCCAGGGGCAGCAGCAGCGCCGUAGGGAAGGGAUGAGACAACUCCUGCCACUGCCCCGAGCGCAGGAACGGAGCGGAGCCUGAGCGGGAGCCGCGGCACCAUCGUGGGACACGCAGCCAGCAGCCCGCGACACCGGAGCUGGGGAGGAACUUUAGCCCUUCUGGGGGCUGUCCCCCUUUAUUGUGCCAGCAGAGCCCCUUUUGGGGGGGGAUGUACACAUGUAAAUGGCUUUAUUAAAGCGACGCGCUGCUGUCCAGGGCA